UAGGGAAUCUUCCACAAUGGACGCAGGUCUGAUGGAGCAACGCCGCGUGAGUGAAGAAGGUCUUCGGAUCGUAAAGCUCUGUUGUUGGUGAAGAAGGAUAGAGGCAGUAACUGGUCUUUAUUUGACGGUAAUCAACCAGAAAGUCACGGCUAACUACGUGCCAGCAGCCGCGGUAAUACGUAGGUGGCAAGCGUUGUCCGGAUUUAUUGGGCGUAAAGCGAGCGCAGGCGGAAUGAUAAGUCUGAUGUGAAAGCCCACGGCUCAACCGUGGAACUGCAUCGGAAACUGUCAUUCCUGAGUGCAGAAGAGGAGAGUGGAACUCCGUGUGUAGCGGUGGAAUGCGUAGAUAUAUGGAAGAACACCAGUGGCGAAGGCGGCUCUCUGGUCUGCAACUGACGCUGAGGCUCGAAAGCAUGGGUAGCGAACAGGAUUAGAUACCCUGGUAGUCCAUGCCGUAAACGAUGAGCGCUAGGUGUUGGGGACUUUCCGGUCCUCAGUGCCGCAGCAAACGCAUUAAGCGCUCCGCCUGGGGAGUACGACCGCAAGGUUGAAAC
rnacentral:rRNA from 1 species